AUGUACAGGUCUGAUAUAACAGAAUUAGGGAAGACUGGAUAUGAAGUGACUGAACAUGAAACUGCUUUCGGAACAUCUUCAGAGUUGCUCUGUGUGAACAGAACUGUAGCAUCAAAAUUAAUCAGUUCAACACAUUGAACUGUGCACACUAUCGUGACGGCUUGUGUUUCAUGGCUAGUGAAUAUCCCUCCAGAAGAUAGAGAAUAGCCUCUUAUUUUCUCUAGACACAUUUCAAACUGAUGUUUGGGAAUUUCCAAGCCUACAGUUUCCAAGAUCCCCUCAUUUUCCAGGAUAUUUUAAGCAGCAAGGUAUUCUAGGUUUUUUUUUUUUUAUGUAGAAAAAUAUGCUUGAUGCUCUUUGAAAGCUGUUCCCAGGUUUCAGCGUGCAUACUGACAUCUACCACAAGCAAUGUUGCAAGAGUCAUUAUGUGUAAUGCUUAAUGACUUUGAAAGGGAGACAAUGGAAGAAGUGCAACUUUCCAGAAGUAUGCCUGCAUUCAUCGUUCAUGUAAGCCCUUAAAUAGCUGCAUAACACAGAUUCUUUUUGCUGAAAAGUCACCACCUGCUUCAUGCAGACUCUGCCAUCCAGCCUUCUGGCUGUCUCUGCCUGAGGCCAGCGCUAGCAUGGCACAGCUUAGAUCUUCUUGAUGGGAUACCAUGGGACAGCAUCCAUGUGCUUGGGAGCACUGCCUUGCUGCUUGUGCUGCCACCCCAGGCUCCCAGCUCCGUGAACACUGUGGUCCAUCCUGCCUUAGCUUCUUCCUGACUUAAAUCCUACUACAAUAUACGAAGGCCUUAAAUAUGCAUCAUCUUAUGAUGCUUUAAAAUACCACUGAACUACAAAUACAGAACUCAGUGUGUGAUUAGGAAAAAUAAAGGGCAUUAACCAAACGUGGAUGUGAAUGUC
rnacentral:lncRNA from 1 species